rnacentral:tRNA from 1 species
GGGGAUGUGGCUCAGUGGUAGAGCGCAUGUCUAGCAAGUGUGAGGCAUUAGGUUCAAUCCUCAGCACCA